AAAGGCAUAAAGCGCUUCACGCUGCUUCCUGCCUUCAACGACAGGAAACUGAGUUUGUUACACAAAUCUCUGGAAGAUAUGAAGCUAGAGCGAGCCGUUACUGUCUGUAGCUACUGAACACAGUGUGAUAGCAUACUUUAUCUGCCAGAGCUCAGUUCCCAAUUGUACUAAGGUUUCCAAACCCACAUUUCAGUUUUAGCCAAUGGGAGAGCUGGCAAACUCCAGUAAGCAUCACCGUUAACUCCUCAAAUCGCCCUGUUUGGGGAGAGGGGAGGUGAGCAGGGGGAGGCUAAGACUUAUUAACUUCAUUAUAUUAUUGCUGACAGUGUUUAUGUCUUUCAAUUUAUGUCUUAUUAAACAUUCAUUAUUUUUAAACCC
rnacentral:lncRNA from 1 species